AAGACUGCUUCAGCCAUUGAGCCAUGUCUGCCUGUAUCCUUCAGCUAGAAAACCCCAGAAAAAAGGCACCAAGUGGAAAUAAGGAGCAAGGAAGGGGACAGCUGUGAACACUGGCCUCCUUAGUCAACCACGGGUGUCAGAGAACUUAAUGGAUGGAGCAGAUUUCAAGGAAAGAAAUCAGGCAGAAUCAAAGACCUUGCACUUGAUAGAUCAGCUGGCACCACCCAGAUCAAUAAACUGGCUCAUCUGAUCUUGUGGUCCCCACCCAGGAACUGACUCAGCACAAGAAGACAGCUUUGACUCCCUGUGAUUUCUUCCCUGACCAAUUAGCACUCCUGGCUCACUGGCUUCCCUUUACUCACCAAGUUAUCCUUAACAACUCAGUUCCUCGAAUGCUCCACGAGACUGAUUUGAGUAACAAUAAAACUCCGGUCUCCUGCACAGCUGGCUCUGCGUGAAUUACUCUUUCUCUAUUGCAAUUCCCCUGUCUUGAUGAAUUGGCUCUGUCUAGGCAGCAGGCAAGGUGAACCCCUUGGGUGGUUACACUAUUCUCAUGCCUCAGCCUCCCAAGUAGCUGGGAUUACAGGCAUGCACCACCUGUACCAG
rnacentral:lncRNA from 10 species